rnacentral:rRNA from 1 species
UACGUAGGGUGCAAGCGUUGUCCGGAAUUAUUGGGCGUAAAGAGCUCGUAGGCGGUUUGUCGCGUCUGCCGUGAAAGUCCGGGGCUCAACCCCGGAUCUGCGGUGGGUACGGGCAGACGUUGAGUGCAGUAGGGGAGACGUGGAAUUCCUGGUGUAGCGGUGGAAUGCGCAGAUAUCAGGAGGAACACCGAUGGCGAAGGCAGGUCUCUGGGCCACUACUGACGCUGAGAAGCGAAAGCAUGGGGAGCGAACAGG